GCCUGGGUGGCUCAGUCGGUUAAGCGUCCGACUUCGGCUCAGGUCAUGAUCUCACAGUCCGUGAGUUCGAGCCCCACUUCGGGCU
rnacentral:tRNA from 1 species